GCUACACACACACACAGGACAAUGGAGGGAAUCGACUGUAUGCUGUUUUUGAUCCUCGGGAUAUGGCUGUUUCUCACAGCAAGAAGACAAACGUUGUUAUUCAGGAUACUCCGUCUGGUGCCUCAGCUCGCUCCGAACCAGAGGAAAGGAACAAAUGAGGAAAUCCAACACUACCUCCACCAGCAGCCCCUAGGCCUCACCCUCACCUUUGUAGCCCAGGGUCAUGACCUCAUGCUGGAGGAGCCAGCAAUCCCCCGCUGGACCCCACAUUAACACUGGUGAAAAUGUCAGGUGUUGUAAUGUCCACUUUAGCCUUUGUAAUGAUGCUCAAGUAGGAGCAGUGAAAGGAAAAGUCCUGAAUCCAAGUGUGACUUCACAGCACUCACCCACUCAACUCAUAUGACUUCAUCACAUCUCUCUGCGUGUCCAUCAACACAUUAUAAUUACUGACUAACAACUUAAUUGUCAACAGACUGGAAUCCUGCUGCCUGUUCAAUCAUGUGCAAUUCAUUACUUUUUUUUUUUUUCCUUUUCAUUCUUUAGACAUAAAUCUGACUUCAAUUACUUUGUCGAUUCUUUUUCUUUUAGUUGGAUGAAAACACAAAAAAUGCAACUCGUUGGCAUUUUUAAUCUGAUUUAGUGUCCAUCAGGUGAAAAUUACCAGUCUGAUUUAUUUAAAAGGCAAAAGACCACCUCUCUUCGACAGUCUGCAUGAUUUGAGGAAUCGUUCAUGUUUGUACAGACAGUUCACAUUAUGCAACAAAGUUUAAUACAUACAGGGUCAUAGGUCUGCUCAAAACCCCAACCCUAAAUAUGAGCAUUAACAUUCUCGUCUUAGCAUACACAACUAAUAAUUAUUCUCAAAUCUUAAAUGCUUAUUGUUGGGUAAUUAGUGGCUGGACUGAUGGUUCUGUAAGUGCUCUUCUAAAUGCCAUGUGAACGAGCUCCAGGCUCCAGACAGCAGGGCUGAAAGGUUUCUGCUCUUCGAUUUGGAUUGCUUUGCUGUGGAGCACGAGUCUGCCCUGGAGUCAACCUUCUGUGUGUUUACUGCCUCUCCGGAACUAUCCUCCCACUUUCAGUUUUUUUAUUUCCUCUCUCUCUUUCCUAAAUCAACACACUGCUGUUUAUUUGUGCACAGUCAACCUGAGACCACUCCAGUACCACUGGAGCUAAAGGAGUCACCCACAGCACCAGCAUCUCCACAAAUAAAGACAGAGAGCUCUGAAGAGUAUAAACGCCACACUGGAUAUAUUAUACUGAUAGAGAGUGAUGGGCACUCUUAAUCCAAAAAUUUGACUCCCAAGUGCAUUGUGGAGAACUUUAAGGUCUGCCAGGAAAGCACUUUAAAAGGAUCUCACUUGUUUUGCUCAUCUCGCUCAGGCAUGAAUAAGACUGAUAUAGAGGACAGUGUGGCGAUAGCACUUCAUGCACGUGCCUUUACUGAAUAUUUGUAAUAGGUUUAUGAUGCUGUAUUAGUGCUCUGCUAUUCCAAAUAUUUCAGAGAGUGACACUUUAAAAGUUAGUAUGACUUUGGGUGUGAUGGAACCUAAAGAUGAGUAGGGAAUGCACUGUUCCCCAGACUGUUACAUUAGGAAACAUUUUUCAUAAUGAUAGUGGCAGUCUGUAAGUGCUAUAUUUAUGAAGCCAAAAAAAAAAAAA